rnacentral:lncRNA from 1 species
UAGUCAUCUUCAUAAUGGCCAUCACUCAAAUGUGUCCGUUUUAGACUUGGGAAGAUUCUCCCAGUGGUAUUAAAUCCACUGGAGACUUUGAUUUCAGUAUCAUCUUGCAUGAAAGUUCUUAUGAAUUUCUGCUUUUCUCAGUAUUUUGAUCUUUCUUUCUCAGCUAAACUAAGAAAGGUGCCUAUCUGGGCUCUGCAAUUUGAAUACUUUUUAAAAUAAUGUGAUUCUGAUCGCAUAUCUCUCUUUUUCAAGGUGUCCUACAAUUUAAUUACUAAGAACAAGGAGGUUGUGGGGUACUUCUGUUACCUCAGAGCCCCUCCACCUCGGAACUCCUUUGCAGCAGAAUUUUCUGAUAUGAAGGUGAUUUUAGGUGUGCUACUUGGCAAGCAUGAAGUCCCCUUUUCCUUGGCUGAGGGUUCUUCACUUCCAAGAAGACUUCACCACUCAGAAGAUUGCUUUCAGACUUUACUUCCCAUCACUAUUGGAGAUGUUGUGUUUAGUGCCAGCCUGCAUGUGCUCAGGUGACAAGAAAUGCUGUGGGAGAAACCUCAGACCUUUAUAGAUUCAGUGAGAUAUGAGAGUAUGUUUUGAGGAUUGUGGGCUUGAAAUAACCAGCCUAUCCAUCUUGCAAGACCACUUAUCCAACCUGUACCUUGCCUGUUCACCUUGGAGAAGGUUGUGGGAAACAACAUCAAGCACUUUGCUGAAGUUCAGAUCCUGUGAAAAAUCAAGAAGUCUUUCCAGACAACCUAUUAUUCUUAAAGUUUACAUAUACCACAUUGAAUAG